CCCUUAGAUGUUCUGGGCUGCACGCGUGUUACAAUCGGGAGUACAACAAGAUUGCAAAUCCUAGUGGAUGAGUGGUUCUUCGAAAUUUUCUGAAGACUGGGAUAGUUGAUUGAAAUUAUUCAACUCAAACGAGGAAUUCCUUGUAAUUGUAAUUCAUUAUACUGUAAUGAAUACGUCCCUGCCCUUUGUACACACCGCCCGUCGCUCCUACCGAUUGAACGAUCCGGUGAAUUAUUUGGAGUAGCUCUGGAAGUUGCAGAACUUCCUAUGUCACGAAAUUUUGUAAACCUUAUCGUUUAGAGGAAGACAAAGUCGUAACAA
rnacentral:rRNA from 1 species